rnacentral:rRNA from 1 species
UGGGGAAUUUUGCGCAAUGGGGGAAACCCUGACGCAGCAACGCCGCGUGCGGGAUGACGGCCUUCGGGUUGUAAACCGCUUUCAGUGGGAAAGAUAAUGACGGUACCCACACAAGAAGCUCCGGCUAAAUACGUGCCAGCAGCCGCGGUAAUACGUAUGGAGCAAGCGUUAUCCGGAUUUAUUGGGCGUAAAGCGCGCGUAGGCGGCUUGUUAAGCAAGGUCUUAAAUCUUGGGGCUCAACCUCAAGUCGGAUCUUGAACUGGCAGGCUCGAGUAUGGUAGAGGAAAGUGGAAUUCCCAGUGUAGCGGUGAAAUGCGCAGAUAUUGGGAAGAACACCGAUGGCGAAGGCAGCUUUCUGGGCCAUUACUGACGCUGAGGUGCGAAAGCUAGGGGAGCAAACAGG